rnacentral:lncRNA from 1 species
AUGGUAAUAUUGAUUUCAUUAUCUUCUAACCAUUUAAUAAGAUGCUCUAAGCCUCAAAACCACUGCUCCAUAAUUGAACUAAAUAAACUUUUAUUAGAAAUAAUUCAGCAAACUUACUACAUGUUAGGCAACCAAACUUUUCCAGUAAUGAACCCAUCAACACAACAUAGACUAACAUCUUUCUUCAUGCCGACAUUUCUAUAACUCUCAAAAAGUCUUGUAUUAACCAAAACACCAGCAGUCCAUUCAUCGAUGUAAAAUAAUUCCAUGCUGGACGACAUCUUCUCAGUACACCAAACCACAAUCACUUACAAAGACAGCAAACAUUUAAAACGGUCACAAUAGCCGACCAAAAAAAAAAAAACAUAACAUGCAACACCACUCAGUGGUUGAAGUUUUAUACUAUUCUUCUUUUACAUAUCAAACCAUAAUGAUGAAACAUUAACUAAAUUAAAUAAAUAUUAUUCAAAUAAUUAAUCUUCUGUUUUAUUCCAAAAUUUCUAUUAAACUCCAAAACCACUAUUCUUGGUUCUUUGAAUAAAGUUUGUUUUAUACACGUCAUUAAUACAUCAUAACCUCAACGCUCCAGCAACAUCACAACAUGGCAGCACCCAGAUGUUCCCCACACAGCAGGUACCCGUUCACUAAUUCCUUUCUUUAGAAUCACUAUAAAGAGAAUUAAACACCUUUUUCACAGAAUCCUCACAACUUAUUUUUAGAAGUUAUUAAUUAUGGUAAUCUACUGUAAUUAACAUCAAGACAGAUUUUUUGAAGGCACUGUCAGACCAUAUAAUUUUUUAUGACUGAUUUUAAUGCUUUGCAAAAUGUUAUAAAAGCAUUGAGUAGGACCUAGCAAUUUAG